rnacentral:lncRNA from 1 species
GCCUCCUGAGUAGCUGGGACUACAGGGCAUGCUUUCUCGCCUGCCGGCCUUCCACCAUGGGAUGAAGCAGCAAGAAGGCUCUUGCCAGAGGCAGACCCCUCGACCUUGGACUUCCCAGCCCCCAGAACUUAUUUUUGAUCUGCAGUUGGUUGACUCCACGGAUGCAGAACCCAUGGAUGGAUACAGAGGGUUGACUGUAUAAGAAGUUUUCUAUAAAUGUCUGCUGUGGACUGAACUGAUGGAAUAAGCAUCCAAAAGGAAUGCCACCGGCUGAAAUGCUGACCCUCAUCACCAAGAUAAAACAUUGCAGGGAUGCAUGAAAAUUACAUUUGGGGAGUAAAUAGGCAGCCCAAGUACAGAGUGAAGAAGACCUGCUUAGAGGUGGCACACAUGAAAACAACUCAAAGGUUUACUUGCCCAUCUGAAUAUUCAUCCAUCCAUCCAUCCAUCCAUCCAUCCAUCCAUCCAUCCAUCCAUCCAACCAUCCAACCCCCUCUUGCCCUCAGAAGUUUAACCACCAGGAUUG